rnacentral:rRNA from 1 species
GAUGAAAUUGAUUUAUUGGAAUCUUGGUAAGAAUUUUAAGGAUAAAAUUUUGUGGGGAUUUAACUUUAGAACUAGUGAAACCGAGAUUAAAUUUAUACCCCAUUGUAAAAACAAUUUGAAAAUUUGAAAUAAAAAUAGGAUUAGAUACCCUAGUAUUCAAAUAACGAAAUUUAACAAAGGAUUUAAAUUAGAAGUAUUAGUUAUGGACUUGAAAUUAAAAAAAAAUGGCGGUAUUACAGACCAUUUAGGGGAACUUGUUUCGUAAUCGACGAUCCGCGAAAAGAUUACUUUUUAAAGGAGCUUGUAUACCGUUGUCUUCAGGGAAUCGAUAAAGGGAAAUUUCCUAAAGUUAUCUGUUUGAUAAAGUAAGUCAAAUCAAGGUGCAGCUUAUGAAAAAGGGGAAAAUGAGUUACAAUAUAGAAUAGGUACCAAACGGAUUAAGGGCUGAGAAAUCCUUAUGAAGGCGGACUUGAAAGUAAUUACAAUAAUAAAGGUGUAAUGAGUUAGGCUCUGAAAUAUGUACACAUCGCCCGUCACUCUCAAAGAAAAAAUGAG